AAUAGCAAAAUGGAUGAAUCAAAAAUUGUGACCGUCAAGCAGCCCAGCAUAUCUGCCCCCGGGUUCACUCUGUCCGCUCCAGAAGGAGAACAGGCUGGCUCCAUCCGCCAAAUCUUCCAGUUUGAGGCCACUUCUGUAGGCGUUGUUGAAACUCUGGCCCAAGUCAGCCUUUCCGCCUCCGAGUCUCUUGCCAAGCUCACUGCUGGAUACAGGCGAGCCAAACUCGUCGAGCUCUUUCUCACCAUCACUCCUACUCAGCUUGCCAUAGACAAUCCCGUCACCGUUGACGUUGUCUGGGUUCCUGCUAAUUCCACAGCCACUCCCUCCAAGAUCCUCUCCGUCUACGGUGGCCAAAGAUUCCUCAUUGGAGGCACUUUGACCACCUCUCAAGUUAUCCGCGUUCCUUGCAACUUGCAAUCUGUUAACGCAAUGAUCAAGGACUCCACCAUUUACACUGACUCCCCAAAGCUCCUGGUUUACUCGCCAGUCGCCAAAGGGUCUCCCAAAACCCCUUCUGCAACAGUCCAGAUUGCCGGACAAAUCCUUCUUUCUGCCCCUCUCUUGCAGGCACUCUGAUUUCUUCACACUUCAGAGCCCUGUCAGCAAAACAAAUUACCAAAAAAAAAAAAAAAAAAAAAAAAAAAAAAGAAAAAAAAAAAAAACAAAACAAAACAAACCUUUUCCCUACAGCCUACCUUCUUCAGUGGGCUCUCUAAUCUGCCAUUCUCCGUCUUGGCCGAUCCAUCCUUCCCUCAUUAGUGUCACCACUAAGCUCCCCCGCUCCUUCAGCAAGAGCCGUCUUCGCGACGUUAAAGCGAUUC
rnacentral:misc_RNA from 1 species